ensembl:lncRNA
CAUCUCCUACAGCAUUCAGGAAUCUCCAGAGCCAUUUAGGAUAAAGCCCAACCUUUCUGCCGGAGGGAUGAAGCUCUGGACUCCUGGUCUCCUUCUCCAGGUUGUUCUCCAGAGCUGAGCAAGGACCAGCCUCACCCAGCUUUGCCUCUCAUGCCCACAGCUGCAGGCAGAGGGGAUGAGAUGAAAUUCAAACAAGGGCAGGCAUCUAUCAUUAAAUCAAAAUCUGUCUGGAAACAGAACAGAGACUCCAACUUCAAAGCCUGCCACUGCUCUCGGUGCAGCUCUCCUUGCUGGUUGCCUGGGAGGUUCAUUGGGAAUGAUGCGCGGAGAUGCUGCGAGCAGCGAGCUCCAAACCGUCAUAAUGAUGCCCUGGAGUGGGAGAGACCUGGAAACGCUGUGGGGAGAGAGGCAGCUCCAUCCCUGCAGCCCUGGAGAGACCCAAAUCCCCCCAGAGAGGCCAAAAUCCCCCGGGAUGCUCCAACUCCGUGGAUUCUUCCCACCCUGUCUGUCUGCAGCCCACCGUGUUUUCUGUCAGCAUUCCAGCUGGGGCUGCAAAGGUAACAAAACUCUGGCAGAGAGCCCUUUACAGCCAAAAACCAUCCCUGUUUGUUCCUGCAGCAAACUCAGCCACGCUGCUCUUAACAAGCAGUACCAAAAUGACAUUUUGCCUUGAAACUUUUUCACUUUUAUGGCCUUAAACAUCCUGGGCUGCGCGUUUUGGUUCGUGCAAUCGCGGUGCGAGGGAUGGGAGGUGAGGGAGUGCCAGACAGGGUUUUCCAGUGUCUGGGAGGAUUCAGUGCCUGGGUAAACACAGCUCAAACCCCAUCAGGGGGGGCUUGGGUCAGGUGGGUUAAUUUGGAACAAGGUUUAAGGGCUCAUUAAUUCAGCCAGUGAUCCUAAAUGUAUUUUUUAGUGUCUACAAGCGUUCACGUGUAUUGCUAACUGCCUGGUGUAACUGAGUGUGCUCCGGUUCAAUUUGGUUUCCAUGGAAUCAUGGAAUAUCCUGACUCCAGGGUCAGGGUCACAGGGUCCAAGGAAGCAGCUCCAUGAUUUUGCUGGGACUCUGAUGCUGAUAAACAUUGGGCAGGUUUCCUGCAGCAGCGUGGCAAAAAAUGGAACGGCUCUAUCAUGUUUUGAGAGACUAAUACACAGCCAGACACUCUGAUCUCAUGAAUGUCUUGUUAAUUAGGCUCAAGUGGAUGAUUUCAGCCCACGAAGCCCAGUGGAGGUAGAGCUGCUGACAGAGUUAUUUAGAAAGUGCAGAGUGUCUGAGUUUGACUCCAUCUCCUCAGAGCUCCAUGGAAUCACCCUCCACAGGCAGGGAGAGGGAGAGCCCUGCUCCUUCAAAUGAUCCCUGCUGAUUCAUGAGCCAAUUCCCAGCUAAUACUAAAGUUAUAAGAUAUUUAUUCACUCCUGGCUACCUGGGCUGUCCCCGAAGUUCACCUUGGGGGGAUUGUGCUCUCACUGAAGGUUUUGAUAAAAAAUUGAAAUGCCCUUUUUGUUGUCCUGCGAGUCAUUAUGUUCACCUGAUAAAAAUGAUUUCACACCUAACUCCACCCAUUAAUCAAAAAGGUCAGUACAAUAAAUAGUUUUUAUCUUUCCUGCCA